rnacentral:lncRNA from 1 species
GUGUGUGCUGGAGACUCUGAAAACAUGGCGUUGAGCGGCUCGAAUGCUAAAAAAGAGGCUUACUUUUAACGAGAAGACAAACAGAAAAAAAAAACAAUUCGGAUCUAUUCAGUUUUUUAUGUAAAAUCAAUCAUUAGCUUAAAGAUUGAAAAUAUUGCCAAUUACUGUAUUUUACUGUGAGUACGGCUAAUAGAAAGAGAUAGUUCAGUACUUGCCAUUGUCAAAUUGACAUAACUAUAACUUAACUCUUUUCCCCACGUGAAAUUUGAUAUAAGGUGGAUAUAGUUGUUGGAUUAUGUGAUUUUAUUAUUAGCCCAUAUUUGAGACAAAAUUAGGGGUUUUAAGGGGAGUUUCUGCAUGAAAGUCAUGGGGGAGGCUCUCAUAUUUAUAUAGGAAUUUAGUAAGGCUGUGAGGGAGUGGAACAUAGUCAAAUUAAAUGAAGAGAGAUAGAGUGAGUGUGUGUGCUGGAGACUCUGAAAACAUGGCGUUGAGCGGCUCGAAUGCUAAAAAAGAGGCUUACUUUUAACGAGAAGACAAACAGAAAAAAAAAACAAUUCGGAUCUAUUCAGUUUUUUAUGUAAAAUCAAUCAUUAGCUUAAAGAUUGAAAAUAUUGCCAAUUACUGUAUUUUACUGUGAGUACGGCUAAUAGAAAGAGAUAGUUCAGUACUUGCCAUUGUCAAAUUGACAUAACUAUAACUUAACUCUUUUCCCCACGUGAAAUUUGAUAUAAGGUGGAUAUAGUUGUUGGAUUAUGUGAUUUUAUUAUUAGCCCUUUUUCUUUACUCUUUCUGGGGAUUACGGAUGUUUUUUUCGAAAGUGUUUUAAUUAGGGAUAGCCCUAUUGAGUCUUGGAAAUGAAAGAAACAGUAAGGAUAAAUACGAACGUAAAUAUAAUAGGGCGGCAAAAGAUAGCUGGUUGGGUUGUGUUGUGUUCUUUGUAGGUCAUGAGUAGGCUAUAUG